UAGGGAAUCUUCCGCAAUGGACGAAAGUCUGACGGAGCAACGCCGCGUGAGCGAAGAAGGCCUUCGGGUCGUAAAGCUCUGUUGUUAGGGAAGAACAAGUAGCGCAGUAACUGGCGUUACUUUGACGGUACCUAACGAGGAAGCCACGGCUAACUACGUGCCAGCAGCCGCGGUAAUACGUAGGUGGCAAGCGUUGUCCGGAAUUAUUGGGCGUAAAGCGCGCGCAGGCGGUUCCUUAAGUCUGAUGUGAAAGCCCACGGCUCAACCGUGGGGGGCCAUUGGAAACUGGGGGACUUGAGUGCAGAAGAGGAGAGCAGAAUUCCACGUGUAGCGGUGAAAUGCGUAGAGAUGUGGAGGAACACCAGUGGCGAAGGCGGCUCUCUGGUCUGUAACUGACGCUGAGGCGCGAAAGCGUGGGGAGCAAACA
rnacentral:rRNA from 1 species